GACGUAGGGCGCGAGCGUUGUCCGGAUUUAUUGGGCGUAAAGAGCUCGUAGGCGGUCUGUCGCGUCGAUCGUGAAAACUUGGGGCUUAACCCUGAGCUUGCGGUCGAUACGGGCAUGACUGGAGUUCGGCAGGGGAGACUGGAAUUCCUGGUGUAGCGGUGAAAUGCGCAGAUAUCAGGAAGAACACCCGUGGCGAAAGCGGCUCUCUGGAACGGUACUGACGCUGAGACGCGAAAGCGUGGGGAGCGAACAGG
rnacentral:rRNA from 1 species